AGUGAACGCUGGCGGUAGGCCUAACACAUGCAAGUCGAACGGCAGCACAGUAAGAGCUAGCUCUUACGGGUUGCGAGUGGCGGACGGGUGAGGAAUACAUCGGAAUCUACUUUUUCGUGGGGGAUAACGUAGGGAAACUUACGCUAAUACCGCAUACGACCUACGGGUGAAAGCAGGGGAUCUUCGGACCUUGCGCGAUUGAAUGAGCCGAUGUCGGAUUAGCUAGUUGGCGGGGUAAAGGCCCACCAACGCGACGAUCCGUAGGUGGUCUGAGAGGAGGAUCCGCCACACUGGAGCUGAAACACGAUCCCGACUACUGCGAAAGGAAGCAGUGGGGAAUAUUGGACAAUGGGCGCAAACCUGAUGCAGCCGUACCGCGUGGGUGAAGAGGGCCUUCGGGUUGUAAAGCCCUUUUGUUUGGAAAGAAAAGCAGCAGGUUAAUACCCCGCUGUUCUGACGGUACCCAAAGAAUAAGCACCGGCUAACUUCGUG
rnacentral:rRNA from 1 species